rnacentral:rRNA from 1 species
GACGAACGCUGGCGGCGUGCCUAAUACAUGCAAGUCGAGCGGAAUGAUGAAGAAGCUUGCUUCUUCUGAUUUUAGCGGCGGACGGGUGAGUAACACGUGGGCAACCUACCUUGUAGAUUGGGAUAACUCCGGGAAACCGGGGCUAAUACCGAAUAAUCCAUUUUGCUUCAUGGCGAGAUGUUAAAAGGCGGCUUCGGCUGUCACUACAAGAUGGGCCCGCGGCGCAUUAGCUAGUUGGUAGGGUAAUGGCCUACCAAGGCGACGAUGCGUAGCCGACCUGAGAGGGUGAUCGGCCACACUGGGACUGGGACACGGCCCAGACUCCUACGGGAGGCAGCAGUAGGGAAUCUUCCACAAUGGACGAAAGUCUGAUGGAGCAACGCCGCGUGAGUGAAGAAGGUUUUCGGAUCGUAAAACUCUGUUGUAAGGGAAGAACACGUACGAGAGUAACUGCUCGUACCUUGACGGUACCUUAUUAGAAAGCCACGGCUAACUACGUG